rnacentral:tRNA from 1 species
GCCGAAGUGGUGGAACUGGUAGACACGCUAUCUUGAGGGGGUAGUAGGCUACGCCUGUGCGGGUUCGACUCCCGCCUUCGGCACCA